rnacentral:tRNA from 1 species
GGGUGCGUAGCUCAGUUGGUAGAGCAGCUGACUCUUAAUCAGCGGGUCACAGGUUCGAAACCUGUCGCACCCACCA